CAUUGAGUGUUUGCAUUGAAAGUGUUUCCGUUUUAAAUUUGCUCAUACACCGGUGGGGAGUGGGUGUUUUAGCCGAUUCUAAAAUUUCAAGUUGUGCUAAUACCACAGAGAACAGACGUACAAGCUAGCCCACGAAUCUUGUGUAAAAUCCCAACACCCUUUUUGAUUUUUUGUGAGUUUAUAUAUGAUUACGCCUUUUCGAAAACUGGGCACUUUAAAGUUGAUUUGUGACUUUUGAACGGCGCAAUAGAUGGCACUGUUUGUAGUCGAUUUCUAACGUAUUUUUUGGUGAUAACAUUUGAAAUUUUACACACCUUUUUGACGAUUUUUUGUUCGAGCUUGUACGUCUGUUCUCUGUGCUAAUACUGGAAUACUUAAAACCAAUAUUUACACCUGAACCGUUGCAGGUGCUCUUAAGAAGGCGAAUAUAAAAUUAAAGAUUACAAUAUAAGAAACAAACACAAAUCGUCGCCAGUGUAUUGCUACCUCACUAACUCACACGCUCUCUCGCAACACUGAUAAAAUUUUUGGGGCAACACCGCCCGAUGGCAGUGCAACACCAAGUCAAAACCAGUGCAAAACUGUCCGAAUAAACAAACAGCUUGACAGCACUUAGCGGUGCACCAGUGCAACAAUAGUGCAACACUCGACAUAAACAAAUACGGUAUCAUCAUUAGAUUUAAUUUUGAUUCGCAAGUUGAAUUAAGUUAAUUUGAGUUGUAAAAAAUAACUUUGCUCAAAUUUGAGUACAAAGAUAUAGGCGACAAUUGCGUGCCAUUUGGAACUUCAGUUUUGCUAGUUGAUCGUGUUGUUUUGGUUGCAUGUGUUAUUUUAAUUCGAUCCGCUGAAAACUGUCUCGACUCCCGACUUUCAAAUUCCGGCUCAAUUGUCUCGACUGUGGGCUGUUCCUGGAGUCCGGUUGUUGUUUCGAAGACAGAAUGCUGACAUUGGAUGGUGUUUUCUGGCUGCUGUUAGCUUUCAGCUAUUGGAAAAGGUGCCCCGGGCGAUGCGACUCAGCCGAAGACUAAAUAAACCGGCUCAAAUGUCUCGACUCGGAUCGGACUGGAGGAUGUGGGCUGUUCCUGGAGCCCGGUGGUUGUGUCGAAGACAGAAUGCUGAUAUUGGAUGGCGCUUUCUGGCUGCUGUUGGCUUUCAGCUAUUGAAAAAGGUGCCCCGGGCGAUGCGAUUCAGCCAAGGACUAAAUAAACGCCAGUUUUUUUGGAGUGUACCAAUAUAACUUGGACAGAAAUUUAUUUCAAAAUCUGCAAGAUGUUAAGGCUGUCGUGAUACAUUAGAUUCUCGUGGAAACUUUUCCUACGCAAAGGUUCCGGCGUUCCCUGGCUGAGACUUUCGGAGCAGUGCCGCGCUCGGAGGCUUUUGGAUUCCAACGCUGCUGCUAACUGUGAUGGCAGUCCAAACGUACCAUAUAG